rnacentral:rRNA from 1 species
UACGAAGGGGGCUAGCGUUGCUCGGAAUUACUGGGCGUAAAGGGCGCGUAGGCGGAUGCUUAAGUUGGGGGUGAAAGCCCAGGGCUCAACCCUGGAAUUGCCUUCAAUACUGGGCAUCUUGAGUACGGGAGAGGUGUGUGGAACUCCGAGUGUAGAGGUGAAAUUCGUAGAUAUUCGCAAGAACACCGGUGGCGAAGGCGGCCAACUGGACCAUUACUGACGCUGAGGCGCGAAAGCGUGGGGAGCAAACAGG